rnacentral:rRNA from 1 species
CACGUAGGGUGCGAGCGUUGUCCGGAAUUAUUGGGCGUAAAGAGCUCGUAGGCGGUGUGUCGCGUCGGCCGUGAAAACCUGCAGCUUAACUGUGGGCUUGCGGUCGAUACGGGCAUCACUGGAGUUCGGCAGGGGAGACUGGAAUUCCUGGUGUAGCGGUGAAAUGCGUAGAUAUCAGGAAGAACACCCGUGGCUAAGGCGGCUCUCUAGUACGGUACUGACGCUGAGACGCGAAAGCGUGGGGAGCAAACAGG